GGAAUAUUGCACAAUGGGCGCAAGCCUGAUGCAGCCAUGCCGCGUGUAUGAAGAAGGCCUUCGGGUUGUAAAGUACUUUCAGCGGGGAGGAAGGCGAUGGGGUUAAUAACCCUGUCGAUUGACGUUACCCGCAGAAGAAGCACCGGCUAACUCCGUGCCAGCAGCCGCGGUAAUACGGAGGGUGCAAGCGUUAAUCGGAAUUACUGGGCGUAAAGCGCACGCAGGCGGUCUGUUAAGUCAGAUGUGAAAUCCCCGGGCUUAACCUGGGAACUGCAUUUGAAACUGGCAGGCUUGAGUCUUGUAGAGGGGGGUAGAAUUCCAGGUGUAGCGGUGAAAUGCGUAGAGAUCUGGAGGAAUACCGGUGGCGAAGGCGGCCCCCUGGACAAAGACUGACGCUCAGGUGCGAAAGCGUGGGGAGCAAACAGGAUUAGAUACCCCAG
rnacentral:rRNA from 1 species